rnacentral:rRNA from 1 species
UCAAAGAUUAAGCCAUGCAUGUCUAAGUACAAGCUCGUCUCGAGCGAAACUGCGGAUGGCUCAUUAAAUCAGUUAUGGUUCAUUGGAUCGAGUCCCCGACAUGGAUAACUGUGGUAAAUUCUAGACCUAAUACAUGCGUCCAAGCGCCGACUUUCCAGAAGGCGUGCUUUUUAUUAGGAACAAGACCAGCCCGGUUUCGGCCGGCCACACUGGUGAACUCUGGAUAACACAGCCGAUCCGCACGGUCUUGCACCGGCGACGGAUCCUUCGAAUGUCUGCCCUAUCAACUUUCGAUGGUACGUUAUGCGCCCUCCCAUGGUCGUCACGGGUAACGGAGAAUCAGGGUUCGAUUCCGGAGAGGGAGCCUGAGAAACGGCUACCACAUCCAAGGGA